rnacentral:rRNA from 1 species
UGUGUAGGCGGCCGCGCAAGUCGGAUGUGAAAGCCCCGGGCUCAACCCGGGAAGUGCACCCGAAACUGUGUGGCUUGAGUACCGGAGAGGUUGGUGGAAUUCUCGGUGUAGAGGUGAAAUUCGUAGAUAUCGAGAGGAACACCGGUGGCGAAGGCGGCCAACUGGACGAGUACUGACGCUGAGACACGAAAGCGUGGGGAGCAAACAGGAUUAGAUACCCUGGUAGUCCACGCCGUAAACGAUGGGUGCUAGGUGUCACGGGUUUUUGACUCCUGUGGUGCCGUAGCCAACGCAUUAAGCACCCCGCCUGGGAGUACGGCCGCAAGGCUAAA